AGCGGGUCGGUCGGGGCGAGGUCAGUACGGCGGCUUAAUGAACAGCUAGCAGAGUGGGCGUGCGUGGGUUUGAGUUCGAGAAGGGAGGACUGUUGGUCGAAGGGAUCGAGGGUUGAAACUUUGUUUGCCUUGCCAAUAUUGUUCUUGUUCUUGUUCUCAUUUUUGUUCUUCUUCUUCCUCCUCUUGUUCUGCAAUUAUGAAGUGCUGUGUAAUGCUGCCC
rnacentral:lncRNA from 1 species